GACGAACGCUGGCGGCGUGCUUAACACAUGCAAGUCGAACGGAAAGGCCCUGCUUUUGUGGGGUGCUCGAGUGGCGAACGGGUGAGUAACACGUGAGUAACCUGCCCUUGACUUUGGGAUAACUCCAGGAAACUGGGGCUAAUACCGGAUAGGAGCUCCUGCUGCAUGGUGGGGGUUGGAAAGUUUCGGCGGUUGGGGAUGGACUCGCGGCUUAUCAGCUUGUUGGUGGGGUAGUGGCUUACCAAGGCUUUGACGGGUAGCCGGUCUGAGAGGGUGACCGGCCACAUUGGGACUGAGAUACGGCCCAGACUCCUACGGGAGGCAGCAGUGGGGAAUAUUGCACAAUGGGCGGAAGCCUGAUGCAGCAACGCCGCGUGCGGGAUGACGGCCUUCGGGUUGUAAACCGCUUUCGCCUGUGACGAAGCGUGAGUGACGGUAAUGGGUAAAGAAGCACCGGCUAACUACGUG
rnacentral:rRNA from 1 species